AACAUCGUUAAAGGUACAGUGUGCAGGAUUUGUCAGCAUCUAGUGGUGUGGUUGCAGAUUGCAAGCGACUGAAUACCCCUCCGCUCACUCCUCCCUUUCCAAGACUGCGGUAGCGUGAGCCGGCGAGUGCAAAACUGCGGUAACG